rnacentral:lncRNA from 10 species
AGGCAAGGUCACUAAGGCUGGUUUGAAGUUUCUGUGCCUUGAAAUUUCUUAUGUCAUGGAGUCACCUGACAUUCAGAUCAAAGGCCGACUCCGCUCUAUGUUUGAUGAUCCUUGCAGCAAGCACAGAUCAAGGUUCCUGUGACCUGCAGCAAUUGGAUUACAAGAUUAGAUCAAUUUGCAAAGUACACCAAGAUCACAGCAGUUGCCAUCCAUUAGCCGCUGAGACAAGUGAUGUCACCUGCCAAUACUGUAGAUUGAAUAACCAGGGAAGGCUGAGGAAUGCAAGUGAAUGUAAAAACCACCUGGAGGGAAGCAUUGCAGCAAGAAAGGAACAGCAAGUGCAGAGGCCUGAGGCAGAACCAGCAGGGAAAAUGCUUUGAGGUGAGGCAGGUUCCAUGAAAACCUGGAAGAAAUAUUCCUGAGGACCAUCCAACACCAUUUCCCUGAGAGACAAGCUGUAAGUGCUGUUCUAGUUACAGAUCCGAGUCCCUGGUACAUUGAUAUCAAGUAAGGGUGCAUGCAGCUCAGAAGGCAGUUUCCAUUACACUGGACAAGAGUGUGGCUGCCUGAGUCCUAGAACUGCAGUGGCUUCUGCUGACAAUGUGAGGAGUAGCUGCCCUGUCCAGAGUGUGGCCCCGCACGCUGCCCCCUCCCCUGGAGGGACUGAAGAGAACAGCUUGGAGCAUGCCCUUCCCUUUCCCUUAUCUCGCCCACUAUGCUAAUGCUGCUCAUCCCUCAAGAUCCGAGUUAUUCCUCCUCAAUUCAAUACACACCAAUCAACUGCCC